GCCUGGACACGGACAGGAUUGACAGAUUGAGAGCUCUUUCUCAAUUUGGUGGGUGGUGGUGCAUGGCUGUUCUUAGGUGGUGGAGUGAUUUGUCUGGUUAAUUCUGAUAACGAACAAGACUCUGGCAUGCUAAUUUUUUGAAACACUGGAAUGGUUUCUCACAGAGAGAGGUGGAGGCCCCAUCCCUGGAAACAUUCAAGGCCAGGUUGGACGGGGCUCUGAGCAACCUGAUCUGGUUAGCGGUGUCCCGGC
rnacentral:ncRNA from 1 species